AAGUCGUAACAAGGUUUCCGUAGGUGAACCUGCGGAAGGAUCAUUACCGAAGUACAGGCCCUCUCGAGGGCUAAACUUCCACCCUUUGUUAACUAUACUUUGUUGCUUUGGCGAGACGCCUCACGGCCACCGGCUUCGGCUGGUGAGUGCUCGCCGGAGAAAACCCAAACCCAAACUUUUUUAGUGUUGUCUGAGAACUAAGUUUAAUUAUUAAAACUUUCAACAACGGAUCUCUUGGCUCUG
rnacentral:misc_RNA from 1 species